rnacentral:rRNA from 1 species
CAGUCGCCGCGGGAAUACAGAGGGUGCGAGCGUUAAUCGGAUUUACUGGGCGUAAAGCGUGCGUAGGCGGCUUUUUAAGUCGGAUGUGAAAUCCCUGAGCUUAACUUAGGAAUUGCAUUCGAUACUGGGAAGCUAGAGUAUGGGAGAGGAUGGUAGAAUUCCAGGUGUAGCGGUGAAAUGCGUAGAGAUCUGGAGGAAUACCGAUGGCGAAGGCAGCCAUCUGGCCUAAUACUGACGCUGAGGUACGAAAGCAUGGGGAGCAAACAGAAUUAGAUACCCCUGUAGUCCCUGUCUCUUAUAC